AGCGAACGCUGGCGGCAGGCUUAACACAUGCAAGUCGAGCGGGCAUCUUCGGAUGUCAGCGGCAGACGGGUGAGUAACACGUGGGAACGUACCCUUCGGUUCGGAACAACUCUGGCAAACUGGAGCUAAUACCGGAUACGCCCUUAUGGGGAAAGGUUUACUGCCGAAGGAUCGGCCCGCGUCUGAUUAGCUAGUUGGUGGGGUAACGGCCUACCAAGGCGACGAUCAGUAGCUGGUCUGAGAGGAUGAUCAGCCACACUGGGACUGAGACACGGCCCAGACUCCUACGGGAGGCAGCAGUGGGGAAUAUUGGACAAUGGGCGCAAGCCUGAUCCAGCCAUGCCGCGUGAGUGAUGAAGGCCUUAGGGUUGUAAAGCUCUUUUGUCCGGGACGAUAAUGACGGUACCGGAAGAAUAAGCCCCGGCUAACUUCGUG
rnacentral:rRNA from 1 species